UACGUAGGGGGCUAGCGUUGUCCGGAAUCAUUGGGCGUAAAGCGCGCGUAGGCGGUCCGGUAAGUCCGCUGUGAAAGUCGGGGGCUCAACCCUCGGAUGCCGGUGGAUACUGUCGGGCUUGAGUGCGGAAGAGGCGAGUGGAAUUCCUGGUGUAGCGGUGAAAUGCGCAGAUAUCAGGAAGAACACCCGUGGCGAAGGCGGCUCUCUGGGACGGUACUGACGCUGAGACGCGAAAGCGUGGGGAGCGAACAGG
rnacentral:rRNA from 1 species